ensembl:snoRNA U8 U8 small nucleolar RNA
GGGUCACGUGGAAUAAUUCUUAUCUGUUUCUCCUUUUGAAGGGCAGAUUAGAACAUGAUAAUUGGAGUUCAUAUGAUACAUGAUUAAAGUCUCUGGGUAAUCGCAACUUAACAAUACCCUGAUUAUUUCACCUUAU